rnacentral:lncRNA from 1 species
AUGCAUUUGAGUACUUCUUCAAUGGAAGUCCAGGAAUGGGGCAGCGGCGACCUAAUUUAGAUGAUUUAAUGGGGCCUGGGCUGCAACAGUUGAUUGAGCAGCUCAGUAUGAAUGAUAGGCAGGGACCACCCCCGGCACCUCGUUCCGCAAUAGAUGCUUUGCCUACUAUCAAGAUCACACAGAGGCACCUCAACACGGAUUCUCAGUGCCCGGUUUGUCAAGAUAACUUUGAAUUGGGUUCUGAAGCAAGGCAGAUGCCAUGCAAGCAUACCACCCCCGGCACCUCGUUCCUCAAUAGAUGCUUUGCCUACUGUCAAGAUCACACACAGGCACCUCAACACGGAUUCUCAGUGCCCGGUUUGUCAAGAUAACUUUGAAUUGGGUUCUGAAGCAAGGCAGAUGCCAUGCAAGCAUAUUUACCAUGCAGAUUGUAUUGUACCUUGGCUGGUUCGGC